rnacentral:rRNA from 1 species
CGAGAAUCGGGCACUCAGGCAACUGAGUGCCGGAGAGUAAAGUGGCGCACGGGUGAGUAACACGUGGGUAACCUACCCCCGAAUCUGGGAUAACUUCGCGAAAGCGUUGCUAAUACCGGAUAUUGUCCUAUUGGUUAUGACCUUUGGGAUGAAAGGCAACCUCUUCAUGAAAGUUGUCGUUCAGGGAUGGGCCCGCGUACCAUUAGCUUGUUGGUGGGGUAACGGCUCACCAAGGCUACGAUGGUUAGCUGGUCUGAGAGGAUGAUCAGCCACACUGGAACUGAAACACGGUCCAGACUCCUACGGGAGGCAGCAGUGAGGAAUUUUGCGCAAUGGGGGAAACCCUGACGCAGCAACGCCGCGUGAGUGAAGAAGGCUUUCGGGUCGUAAAGCUCUGUCAAGUGGGAAAAAAGUCUGAUGAUUAAUAGUUGUCAGAUCUGAUGGUACCACUGGAGGAAGCACCGGCUAACUCCGUGCCAGCAGCCGCGGUAAUACGGAGGGUGCAAGCGUUGUUCGGAAUUACUGGGCGUAAAGGGCGUGCAGGCGGGUUGGUAAGUCAGAUGUGAAAGCCCUGGGCUCAACCCAGGAAGUGCAUUUGAAACUGCCAUCCUAGA